rnacentral:pre_miRNA from 1 species
UUAAAUCAAAUUUGUAUGGAGUUGGGACGUUUGCCUAUGUUUGCCGCUAGGGGCGCUGUUUCAACUGCUGUUGCAACUGCUGGUGA